rfam:Triticum aestivum genome assembly, contig: Triticum_aestivum_CS42_TGACv1_scaffold_095308_2AL
CCGUGAGGGGGAUGAUGUAUUACUAUGAAGCUCUCGAGAUGCUGACUUUUCUUGAAUCCGCAUCUGAAGAGGAAUUGGUUGCUG